UGUAGCAACACCGGUAGCUUCUCUUCAAUCUCUAAUUUUCUAUCCUCUAUCUGCGUUCUGUUGCUGUAGUGUACAUUUUUGCUAUCUGUUUUAUACCAAUUCAAUAAAUUCUGUCAGUCCCAUUCAGUCCCUAAAAGUACUUCUAGCGACUGACGCAAGGUGCCUGCAUUAUAUAAACGCUUAAAAUGAACUUAUCUGUGUUUAAAAUCCUAAAGAAUUAUCAAUAAUACUCUGUAGUCGGACUCAUUAGUUCUAAUAUGUGAUUACAAAUGUAAACAAUUAAUGAUAUUUACCGCACAAAAUGGACGUGAAAGUUUAUAAUCGUGGGUGUGAUGUGAUGUGAUUACAGUGGUGCAGGUCUACGGAAUUUUGCAGCUUAUUUUUUUUUUUAAUCAAGCGAUCGCCAACGUCAGGUCACUUGUCGUUGCACUUGCUCGCUAUAAAAAAAAUAAACCCGGCAAAGCUGGAACAUCACAAAAUGCCCCGAACAUAAACGUAAUAUUAAACAAAA